rnacentral:antisense_RNA from 2 species
CUUCAACGCGCCCAGCCACAGCGGCCGUUCGGCGCUGUGUCCCCGCCCGUACGUGGCGAUCAGGGCCUGCGCCUC